rnacentral:rRNA from 1 species
GAUGAACGCUGGCGGCGUGCCUAAUACAUGCAAGUCGAGCGAACAGAUGAGGAGCUUGCUCCUCUGACGUUAGCGGCGGACGGGUGAGUAACACGUGGAUAACCUACCUAUAAGACUGGGAUAACUUCGGGAAACCGGAGCUAAUACCGGAUAAUAUAUUGAACCGCAUGGUUCAAUAGUGAAAGACGGUUUUGCUGUCACUUAUAGAUGGAUCCGCGCCGCAUUAGCUAGUUGGUAAGGUAACGGCUUACCAAGGCAACGAUGCGUAGCCGACCUGAGAGGGUGACCGCCCACCCUGGAACUGAGACCCGGUCCAGACUCCUACGGGAGGCAGCAGUAGGGAAUCUUCCGCAAUGGGCGAAAGCCUGACGGAGCAACGCCGCGUGAGUGAUGAAGGUCUUCGGAUCGUAAAACUCUGUUAUUAGGGAAGAACAAAUGUGUAAGUAACUAUGCACGUCUUGACGGUACCUAAUCAGAAAGCCACGGCUAACUACG